CAGACUGUUAAUAAAGACCUGUUAGUGAGAUUGGUGCCUCAGUACGGACAUGUCUUGAGGCAUGCUCAAUCAUCCAGAUAUCUGGACCUGGGGUGUGAGUUACCUAAAAAGGAGGAUUAAGGAUCUGUUGAACUGGCGGAGUGUUGUAGCUGAGAGAAGAGUUAUGGAUCAGAUGGCUUGAAAGUUCUGCUAUCACUGACAACUUGAUGUUCUAAUUGGAAAAAACAAAAACGCACUGAACUUGGAUUCCGAGUCUGCGUUUUGAGUCAGAAAACCUCAAACAUGACAGAUAAGUUUCCUUAGAAGCCAGAGUGUGCAGCAUGCAGAUGACCUGAUGGAUCCAAAAAUGAAUAACUCCAGUGCAUCCUCCAACAAGAAAAGUCACCACAAAAGAAUAAAGUCCCCUG
ensembl:lncRNA